AUUGAACGCUGGCGGCAUGCUUUACACAUGCAAGUCGAACGGUAACAGGCCGCAAGGUGCUGACGAGUGGCGAACGGGUGAGUAAUGCAUCGGAACGUGCCCAGUCGUGGGGGAUAACGCAGCGAAAGCUGUGCUAAUACCGCAUACGAUCUAUGGAUGAAAGCGGGGGACCGUAAGGCCUCGCGCGAUUGGAGCGGCCGAUGUCAGAUUAGGUAGUUGGUGGGGUGAAGGCCCACCAAGCCAACGAUCUGUAGCUGGUCUGAGAGGACGACCAGCCGCGCUGGUGCUGGGACACGGCCCAGAGUCCUACGGGAGGCAGCAGUGGGGAAUUUUGGACAAUGGGCGCAAGCCUGAUCCAGCAAUGCUGCGUGCAGGAAGAAGGCCUUCGGGUUGUAAACUGCUUUUGUACGGAACGAAACGGUCUGGGUUAAUACCCUGGGCUAUGACGGUACCGUAAGAAUAAGCACCGGCUAACUACGUGCCAGCAGCCGCGGUAACAC
rnacentral:rRNA from 1 species